GCCCAGCUUGCUGGGUGGAUUAGUGGCGAACGGGUGAGUAACACGUGAGUAACCUGCCCCUGACUCCGGGAUAAGCGUUGGAAACGACGUCUAAUACUGGAUAUGAUCACCGGCCGCAUGGUCUGGUGGUGGAAAGAUUUUUUGGUUGGGGAUGGACUCGCGGCCUAUCAGCUUGUUGGUGAGGUAAUGGCUCACCAAGGCGACGACGGGUAGCCGGCCUGAGAGGGUGACCGGCCACACUGGGACUGAGACACGGCCCAGACUCCUACGGGAGGCAGCAGUGGGGAAUAUUGCACAAUGGGCGAAAGCCUGAUGCAGCAACGCCGCGUGAGGGAUGACGGCCUUCGGGUUGUAAACCUCUUUUAGUAGGGAAGAAGCGAAAGUGACGGUACCUGCAGAAAAAGCACCGGCUAACUACGUGCCAGCAGCCGCGGUAAUACGUAGGGUGCAAGCGUUGUCCGGAAUUAUUGGGCGUAAAGAGCUCGUAGGCGGUUUGUCGCGUCUGCUGUGAAAUCCCGAGGCUCAACCUCGGGCUUGCAGUGGGUACGGGCAGACUAGAGUGCGGUAGGGGAGAUUGGAAUUCCUGGUGUAGCGGUGGAAUGCGCAGAUAUCAGGAGGAACACCGAUGGCGAAGGCAGAUCUCUGGGCCGUUACUGACGCUGAGGAGCGAAAGCGUGGGGAGCGAACAGGAUUAGAUACCCUGGUAGUCCACGCCGUAAACGUUGGGCGCUAGAUGUAGGGACCUUUCC
rnacentral:rRNA from 1 species